GAGAAUACAAAAUGUACUCUUGACUCCUAUGGGUUGAAACGCGGAGUGGGAAGUGAUGCUAGACAAGGACUAAUAUCGUGGGUAGAGGCAGAGUCAUUGCAACAUUUAUCAGCUAAAUAUUGCUCACUGUUGCCUCCUCCGAGGUCUACCAUUGCAGCAGCAUUCAGUCCUGAUGGGAGGACACUUGCUUCUACGCAUGGAGAUCACACAGUGAAAAUAAUUGACUGUCAAACUGGGAAAUGCUUAAAGGUUAUGAGUGGACACCGCAGGACACCUUGGGUGGUUCGUUUCCAUCCGUUGUACCCUGAAAUACUUGCAAGUGGAAGUUUGGACCACGAAGUUCGUCUGUGGGAUGCAAAAACUGCAGAGUGUAUAGGAUCGCGUGAUUUUUAUCGUCCCAUUGCAUCCAUUGCAUUCCAUGCCCAGGGGGAAGUUCUGGCUGUUGCUUCAGGCCACAAGCUUUACAUAUGGCACUAUAACAGAAGAGGAGAGGC
rnacentral:misc_RNA from 1 species